CGGGGUGCAGCAGGCGCGAAACCUCUGCAAUAGGCGAAAGCUUGACAGGGUUACUCUGAGUGAUGUCCGCUAAGGGCAUCUUUUGGCACUUCUAAAAAUAGUGUAGAAUAAGGGGUGGGCAAGUCUGGUGUCAGCCGCCGCGGUAAUACCAGCACCCCGAGUGGUCGGGACGAUUAUUGGGCCUAAAGCAUCCGUAGCCGGUUCUGCAAGUCUUCCGUUAAAUCCACCUGCUCAACAGAUGGGCUGCGGAGGAUACUACAGGGCUAGGAGGCGGGAGAGGCAAGCGGUACUCAGUGGGUAGGGGUAAAAUCCUCUGAUCCACUGAAGACCACCAGUGGCGAAGGCGGCUUGCCAGAACGCGCUCGACAGUGAGGGAUGAAAGCUGGGGGAGCAAACCGGAUUAUAUACCCGGGUAGUCCCAGCUGUAAACGAUGCAGACUCGGUGAUGGGUUGGCUUCGAGCCAACCUAGUGCCGCAGGGAAACCGUUAAGUCUGCCGCCUGGGGAAUACGGUCUCAAGACUGAAACUUUUAGGAAUUGUGGGGGGAGCAC
rnacentral:rRNA from 1 species